rnacentral:lncRNA from 1 species
AGCAGACAGCAGAAGAGACUGUCAGCAGACCACCUUGGAGGGGAUGCUUGGAGCUGCCUAACGUGUGAUUCAAAGAUGAAUUCCAUGUGUUUGGAGAAGAAGCCCUAGCCUCAACACAAAGGUUGGCCACAUUCCAGCCAAGGUAGCACGGAGUGAAGGCCCGUGGAGGGAGAGCUGGGCUUUUCUGAACUACUUCAGUACACCUUGCUGUGCCUUGGCCUGCCGUGUUUCAUCCCCAUGGCUGUCCUCAGUGAUGUGCAUGGUCACUGCUCCCUUCACCACUGAGAAGACGGGCACAGGACAGUCAGGGGAUGUGUCCAAGGUCCCACAGCAGGAAGGGCUGGAGCCAGAAUGUGGUCUGAGAGGCUGGAUAUACAAAGAGACAAUGGCAUGACCAUCUGUACAAAUGGAACUAUGGCCCACAACCUGCAGCAGCCAGCCCAGGAAGCCAACCCGUCACCUGCAGCAGCCAGGAUGGAUGCUGGCCUGCCCUCAGGUGCCCUUGUUGGAGAACAUGGGGGGCCAAAUUCCAAACGUGGCAAGAGAUAACAAAUGACUUGUCUGGUGGCUGAACCCUGAGCUGGGAGCACUGCCUGGAGAAAACUAUGAAAUGCCUCAGGCCAACAUGCAAGCAAGCCUGGGAUCAGGAGAUGCUCAGGAUGGAACAAUCCACAAACUGAACCAGGCUGCCUGUCCACAGGUGCACUAACCACCUUCCCACCCAGGAAGGUGUUGGAACCCCACUCUCAAUGGAGAAAAGCUGAUACUCAAGUCUAGUUUUAUAUGGCUCCAAACGCCUCCACCAUGAGCUCAAGGCAGUGAGACUGACUGAAAAACCCUCUCUAUUACAGACCACAACAUUGAACCCAACAUCCCCCUAAGUAGGUUGUACUCACAUCAUUGGUCUUAUGGGGAAAUUUUAAGACCUCCCACUUGUAAGGUUUUAUAGCCCUCUAUGGAAUAUUGAAGAAAGAGUAAAAUGCAUCCAAAAAAAAAAAAAAACACUAAA